UACGUAGGGUGCAAGCGUUGUCCGGAAUUAUUGGGCGUAAAGAGCUUGUAGGCGGUUUGUCGCGUCUGCUGUGAAAUUUCGGGGCUCAACCCCGAACUUGCAGUGGGUACGGGCAGACUAGAGUGUGGUAGGGGAGACUGGAAUUCCUGGUGUAGCGGUGAAAUGCGCAGAUAUCAGGAGGAACACCGGUGGCGAAGGCGGGUCUCUGGGCCGUAACUGACGCUGAGGAGCGAAAGCGUGGGGAGCAAACAGG
rnacentral:rRNA from 1 species